AGGCGGCAAACCUCUUGAAUACUAACCGUUAAUUCUAUUGUUUUUCUUUUACGUUGUAGGCAAUGGUCAGAAAAUAAGUGUGAAAUUCCAGAAAAGACCCUUUGACAAUUCCAGCAUAUCGUGUACGCACUCAUGGAAGACGGCAAGAUAGAAAGUGGCGUGCAUAGGGCUGGUAGAUGAGAUUUUAACUCUCUUCCUGAAUAAGGAGGCAGCAAUGGCGAAGGGGAUCCAUGCAAGGAGGACCCAUGUAUUUAUAUUGGACUACUACUAUUUUACACCGCAAUUUAAAAUAGCAUCUUAGUCAUCAACAAAAAGGAGACUUUCCCAGUGCUUUACCACCCUUGGAUGGCUAUCAGUAGGAAUUCAAAAGAGCAACGGCCUCAAAUUACUACCCUGUGGCACAGCAAAAACUGCAGAAAAACCCUCAGACCUUGAUUUUGCAACUUAAAAACUUAAAAACUUAAAAACCUGUUGUAGUGAGGUCAGGUACUUUACGUGAAAAUCGAGUAGAAAAUAGCCCACUAAGGUCAAAGCAAGAAUGGAAAACUGAAAAAAAGGCUUCUGUCAUAAGUCUGCAUGUCAAGAUGUUGUAGUUGUUCAAUGGAAGGAACAAAGUUGUAGCACCUGCUUCAAAUUUUGACGUAUCUGCAAACACAACAGCUCCACGUUACUGCAGAGAAACUAAAUCUAAGGUCAACAUGGCAACAUCGCCCUAGCUCAGUGAAUAAGCCGUAAACCAAGAACGAUUUUAUUUUUUUUGGUUUUUUGACCUUUAUUUUGUUCAAAAAGACCCUGUAGCUGCUUGUUGUAUUUAGGUAUGUAGUACAGAUGCUGUUUUACUAUUUUAAAGUUAAUUUACCUUACUCAGCGCCCCUAUUUACUCCGGGGUUCCGUAAGCUUCUAGGGUAAAAGAAACACAAAAGAGCAGUUUUAAAACAGCACCGACAGUUUUGUGUUCUAUAAAGAUACUAGAAAAGUCGUAUAUAGAGAAAUCUUCUUUUAGCAGUAAAAUAGCAGAAAACUGUUUUAUAAACUGUUGCUAAAAUUAGUAUCUUAAAUUGUUUUCAAUUAAUGUUUUCUAUUAAACACCCAAAUUCACUUUGGCAGUUUUUUAGGCAUUUUAUUUUUAUGCAAUAUUUAGGAUUUAAAAGAAAGUUUUUUUUAUUGCCUUCGAAAAAAUUAAAGAAUAGCGCACACCAAUAAAGCGACCGUAUUUUCUUCCCGUCUGAACUAUUAAUUAUUAUUUUCUUCUAUUAACAAACUUUUGUCCGUGGGGACCAGUAGACAUUUUUAAAAUUUUUGUCAGUACUACAAAAAAAAAUCUCCACAAUUAUCCAAGGAGUGCCCUAAACACGCAGUGGGGAAGAGACCUGCCUUAUCCUCGUAAGACUCCGAGUUCAAGCCUUAGCAUGGUACUCUACCCAACUUUUUCUUUUUUUAGUACUUCGAAAAAAUUAACAUCUUUAGUAAAUAUACAGGGUGUCCCGGUUCAUGUGGGAAAUCUCUCGGAUUCAGAUAGAACAUCGAAAAAUAUUACCGAACGUUCCUAUAAAAAAAUUCCUACAGGCCUUCUUUACGAAGUUACAGCCUCCUAAAGGACGCUGCUGGAAAUUGGUUUUUCAUAAAUUACUUUUAAACUACCCGGUAGAAUUUAAUAAAAAUUUUAGGUGAUGAACACUAUUAGGGACCUCUUAAAAUGACAUCCUUAAAAUACAUUUACCUUGUUUACUUUACCAGGGGCGGACUAGGUUGUACACUUUAAUGCAUAUAUUUUUAACACCCUGUAUGUUAAAGUCUAAAAAAAAUAAAUUUGGAUACCUUGAACCCUAGGCUAAAAAAAGGUACUCUUGUUCAUUAUCGAUAAAAUGAACCGUUUUGGAAAAAAA